GAAACUAAAAUCCAUGUUGUAUUACAUCAGUGAUAGUUUUACGCAAACCAAAAGUAAAAUCAUAAUUAAAUAAAAGCACUUACGAGCCAGGCGAUAGACGAGCAAAAACAAGACGAUCUCCAUCAUUGAUGUCGAGCAAUACACUACAACCUUCCCAAGUAACUCUAGCAGUUUGAGUUGGAUCUUCCAUUUGUGACAUAUCCGAUCCUAUUUUAUGCAGAAAUGGUGAGAAACAGAAAAACAAAUCGGAAAACAAAAGUGGCUGUAGUUACGAUCAAAAUCUAGGCAUUAUAGUCACUGAAGAAUUCAUAAAACCUAACUCUAGGGUUUAGCAGUCAACAGAGAUGUGUCAAAUGAAAAGAAAACAGCAUUGGCCCUUUUUCAUGCUUAUAUCGCCACUUCGACACCGUUCAUGGGCAUUGAUUUGACACCGUUAUCGGGUGAGAUAAUGCUAAGCUAACGGGAGGGAAAGGCCCAGAAGCCUUUUUUGUUGACGUUGAUUACUUUCUUCAGAGGCUUCUCCAGCUUAAUAGCAGCUCGAAUAGAAAAAGAAACCUGUUCAUUUAUGUUACCUGUUGUAGACCUUCAACCUUUCACCUUUCACAGAUCUGAGAAAGACGGUCAAGUAAUGGUGACCCGCCGAAGACUGGAGCCUCGUAACAUGUUGAGGAAGUAAAAAAAUGACCAGACGUACCUGGUUGCAAUCAGAUGUAGGAGAGAAGUUCGUUUAGGAACCACCGCAUGCGCUUAGCGUCGGAAAGAUCCCUCUACAUACUAUAAAAGACGGAGAAGAACAGAACUAAAGUAACAUUUUGUCCGGAGCUCAAUGCCAAAUUCUGUUGCGCAUUCUCAUCCUACUGGCACAAGACACAAACAUUUCACUAAAGGCCCAAUGACUUGUAGACCGCUGUGUGGUAGCAAUCACAAAUGGCCACCAGCAGUGUUGCUCUACACAUUGGCGGCACACCUUGGUGUUUUGUUCAUAAUGCAUUCUCUUUCUUCUUUAUGGAACAAAACAAACAAACAGUUCUUCUCAAUCCUUCCUCUUACAUCAACAAAUAAAACCAACUAAUCUACUAAAAGGCAGCUAAUCAAACAGACGAAAAUAGCAAGCAAAUGGAACGUGUAACAGUCCAACCAAACGACAUAUAUGUUGCUAAAGAAGGCAGAAUAUAAGAGUAAUACCAACUGCCAGCUAAUUACAGGACAGCAAAUGAAGCCCGGGAUCAACGAGGAAAACAGAGAAAGAGCUUGUGAGAAAAUCUAACGGUGCCCGUACGUGAGAAACGGAGUGCGGCUGUGAGUGAGGCGGUGACCAGUUGUAGAGCAGGAUGAUCAAUCCAUGGUGAGCCGCUGUGACAGUGAACUGGUGCCGGUGCUCAGCGUGGAUGAGGUGUGUGAAAGUCGGUGAUUAUCGCGUCGUGGGUAACUUUUUUGAAUACGAGCAGAGACGGUUUUGAGAGCGAGGGUCGUACUAAAAAGCCGGGGGAGGAGGAGGGAGAAUUUAGGUUUAUAUGAUUAUAGAAUUAAUUUUUGUUUCCUAAAUUAUUAAAUUUUUUUUAAGUAAUAUAAAAUUAAUAUUAAAUAUUAAAUAUAUUUAUUUUUUUAAUCGAAAAUGAGAAGAAAGAAAUAUAUUUAUUUAUGAAAUCACUUUUCAGAUACGUAUAAUAAAGUUGUACUACAUUGUAUUUUCAUUUGAGAUGUGUAAUAUACAUAGCAUUUAUAACUACAUAUUGC
rnacentral:lncRNA from 1 species